rnacentral:tRNA from 1 species
UGCCGGGUGGUGUAAUGGUAACACUGAUGGCUCUGGACCAUCCGUUCUAGGUUCGAGUCCUAGCCCGGCAGCCA